rnacentral:rRNA from 1 species
GACGAACGCUGGCGGCGUGCUUAACACAUGCAAGUCGAACGGAAAGGCCCUGCUUUUGUGGGGUGCUCGAGUGGCGAACGGGUGAGUAACACGUGAGUAACCUGCCCUUGACUUUGGGAUAACUUCAGGAAACUGGGGCUAAUACCGGAUAGGAGCUCCUGCUGCAUGGUGGGGGUUGGAAAGUUUCGGCGGUUGGGGAUGGACUCGCGGCUUAUCAGCUUGUUGGUGGGGUAGUGGCUUACCAAGGCUUUGACGGGUAGCCGGCCUGAGAGGGUGACCGGCCACAUGGGGAAUGGGAACCGCCCCAGACCCCCAGGGGGGGCAACGGGGGGGAAUUUUGCACAAGGGGGGGAAGCCUGAUGCAGAAACGCCGGGGGGGGGAUGACGGCCUUGGGGUUGUAACCCCCUUUCGCCGGUGAAGAAGGGGGGGUGAGGGUAAUGGGUAAAGAAGCACCGGCAAACUACGU